GAUGAACGCUGGCGGCGUGCUUAACACAUGCAAGUCGAACGAUGAUCCGGUGCUUGCACCGGGGAUUAGUGGCGAACGGGUGAGUAACACGUGAGUAACCUGCCCUUGACUCUGGGAUAAGCCUGGGAAACUGGGUCUAAUACCGGAUAUGACUGACUAUCGCAUGGUGGUUGGUGGAAAGCUUUUGCGGUUUUGGAUGGACUCGCGGCCUAUCAGCUUGUUGGGGGGUAAUGGCCUACCAAGGCGACGACGGGUAGCCGGCCUGAGAGGGUGACCGGCCACACUGGGACUGAGACACGGCCCAGACUCCUACGGGAGGCAGCAGUGGGGAAUAUUGCACAAUGGGCGCAAGCCUGAUGCAGCGACGCCGCGUGAGGGAUGACGGCCUGGUU
rnacentral:rRNA from 1 species